rnacentral:snRNA from 1 species
AUACUUACCUGGACGGGGUCAAUGAGUGAUCACGAAGACUCAUGGCCUAGAGCAGUGACCUCCAUUGCACUUGGGAGGGGUGCUGCUUUAAGGUCUCCCCAAGAGGGAGAGCCUACGUUAUAAUUUGUGGCAAUGGGGGCUUGCGUUCGCGCAGCCCCUAG